UUUGAAGCGUGGACGCCAGUCUGCGUGGAGCCGACCUUGAAAUACCACCCUUUAAUGUUUGAUGUUCUAACGUGGACCCGUGAUCCGGGUUGCGGACAGUGUCUGGUGGGUAGUUUGACUGGGGCGGUCUCCUCCUAAAGAGUAACGGAGGAGCACGAAGGUUGGCUAAUCCUGGUCGGACAUCAGGAGGUUAGUGCAAUGGCAUAAGCCAGCUUGACUGCGAGCGUGACGGCGCGAGCAGGUGCGAAAGCAGGUCAUAGUGAUCCGGUGGUUCUGAAUGGAAGGGCCAUCGCUCAACGGAUAAAAGGUACUCCGGGGAUAACAGGCUGAUACCGCCCAAGAGUUCAUAUCGACGGCGGUGUUUGGCACCUCGAUGUCGGCUCAUCACAUCCUGGGGCUGAAGUAGGUCCCAAGGGUAUGGCUGUUCGCCAUUUAAAGUGGUACGCGAGCUGGGUUUAGAACGUCGUGAGACAGUUCGGUCCCUAUCUGCCGUGGGCGCUGGAGAACUGAGGGGGGCUGCUCCUAGUACGAGAGGACCGGAGUGGACGCAUCACUGGUGUUCGGGUUGUCAUGCCAAUGGCACUGCCCGGUAGCUAAAUGCGGAAGAGAUAAGUGCUGAAAGCAUCUAAGCACGAAACUUGCCCCGAG
rnacentral:rRNA from 1 species